GACAGAGGUGCCAAGCGUUAGGCGGAAUCACUGGGCUUAAAGCGUGUGUAGGCGGAUGCCUAAGUACCUUGUGAAAUCCCACGGCUCAACCGUGGAACUGCUUGGUAUACUGGGUGUCUUGAGCCAUCUAGGGGGCUACCGGAACAAAUGGUGGAGCGGUGAAAUGCGUAGAUAUCAUUUGGAACGCCAAUGGUGAAAACAGGUAGCUGGGGGAUGUGCUGACGCUGAGACACGAAAGCCAGGGGAGCAAACGGG
rnacentral:rRNA from 1 species